GCGCAGUGCGCGCGCCCGCCGCCCCUCCCCUCGCCGACACGUGCGCCAGCCGCGGCAGACGAGGCCACGCCCCCUCCGUGACCACAGAUGUAGACGGCCACGCCCCCAGUUGCGCCGGCCCCGCCUCCACACGACUGCAACAGAUUUAAAACCCUUCUCCACCGACAUCCCGGAGCCUCACCCCGGAUUCGCACCCAGGCCCCACAGUCCGCACCGCCCCCGGCCGCCCUUCUCCCGCCCGGCAGUGCCUCCCCAGCUCCGGGCCGAGGGCCACCACUCGCCCCGAAGGUACCGGGGCAAUGAAAUGCCCGGUACGGCGUUCUGAGGCCGGGCCGGUUUUGGGGAACGCGCCUGCAGCUCCCUAACCCCGCGGGUCCCACGGCUCCGCUUGGAGCUGCUGCCCCCGCCCAGCCCAGCGCCCCUUGCCCGGACCGGGAUCCCAUUGCCGCUGGCACCGGGAUCCCACCCCCGGCGGGACCAGAGCGGCGCCGGCUCUGGCGGCAGGCAACGGGCACCCCGGCCCCGCCGGGCUCUGCGCGACCUGCAGCGACACUCAGAGGCCGCUCCGCCGCCACCGGGGCUGCCGGGCCCGGCUCCGGCCGCGGAGAGCGGAGUCGCCCCCGGGGGGACCCUGUGGCCCAGGAGCUGCUGCCAGCAGCAGCGAGCAAAGCUCGGGCACGUCCCGGCCCGGCGCUAAUGACUCAAAUUAAUUUUUAUUCGUUUGUACCUAUUUAUGCCCUGCCCCGGACCUGAGGCUGCCAAUCCCACUCCCGCAGCAGAGAAAUCUCAAAAAAGACCCCAAAAUCUCCCAUGAGGACAGACCUGCCCCAAAAACCUGCCUGACCAUCAGAGCACAUUUAACCCGCUGUGGGAGCUGGUUCUGGGGGGUGAUCAGGGCUCUCUCCUCUCAAACCAUGGGGACAGUGACAGCCCAGCCUGGACACUGCUGGCACUGACAAUUCCCUUUGUCCAUUAAAAGAUCCCAGAUCCAA